rnacentral:lncRNA from 1 species
AGGCCCAGGAUGCCUGAUGCUGUGUGGAGGUGACACCUUCCAGCUCCCUCGGUGAUGCAGUGCUGGACCAAAACCUGCCCUGUGCAGCAAUGAUUGCGAGCCGUCUUCUCCCACGUGGCUGUGUUUGGCCCUGGUCCAUCAUCAAGUCAGUCCUACUGCUGUGAAAGGUUGUAAACUUGUUUGAGUUGGAUGUGUUCACUUGCAACCAGAAGAUGCAGAGGCGGUCAGUGCGAAGAUGGACAGAGAUUAUUCUAAGAAGGGCAAGGAAGUAAACGAGAAAGUCCUUUGCCCUCACUGCUGUUUGUAGUUACCGGUGAUAACUAAGCAGACAUGUGGAGAGGGAAAGUGUCUGGCUGAGAAAAUCACCAGAAAUGAUGGAGAUGGUGCCCUGAUAGAACUGGACCUGAAGCUCUGCACUUGUGUGCUUCAAUACAAACCAGGUUUCUGGACUCACACAGACUUGAAACCAAAGCCAGGCUUGACCACAGAUAGUUCGAGGCUCCAGGAUGUUCCUGAGAUGGCGAAGCUGGCAUCCCUCACGGUCUGAAGGCAGGGGAGGCCCUGAGCUAGCCAAGGAGACCUCACACUGGAACACGAUGAAACUGUCUGUCAGAUGAGGCAUUCUGUGCGCUCAUCCAUCAAAUCUGCACCCACCUCAGACCUAUAAUCCUGCAUAACCUUAUCCUUUAUUCCAGACUCUCCCAUCUCAGCUGGGCCCUCUUUCUCUCUGGCCCACACGGUGGUGGACAACCCCAAGUCCCAGGAACCAGGACACAUGUUGAAGGUCCUAGAAGUUACCACAUGGGAAUGAAUAAGGAAGAUGCAAAAUGUAGUGAAAGAGACCAGUCAUCUCCCACGGUGGGCCAAGAGCCACAGCCACCCAGAGUCUCCGAGUUAACGGCAAAGUCGGGAUUGAGCCCCAGCUGCCUCCUUGCUGCCCAGCUUACACACCUCUUGGAACGACCAUCAUCUCCCCUUGACACAGCUCUGGCCACAGGCUCUGCAAAGUGAGUCAUCUGAUGGCGCCAAGCUGCUCACGGCUUAUUAGACAGUAACACGGCGUGCACUCCAGAGCCUCCACUUCCAAACACAGCCAGUGGUGAGCGUGUUCUCGGAGUCACAAAGAUCACAUGCAGAGAGCCUUGGAGCAGGAGGGGAACCCAGAGGGCCUUGGAGAUCAGAGGCCCAGAGAGGGAAAGCGACCUGCCCAGGACCUCCUAGUAAACUGAUGAGACACGGUUUGAGAACCCUCUUUUUCGCCAGCCUGCACACCUCUGUCCUUAUGUUGCACACGCCCACGUGCCUCUGGCUGUCUUGGGGGCUCUGGAUUCGAUGGCUGGGCUUUCCCUCUCAAUGCAGGAGCCCUCAGUCGGUAAGCCUGCUCACCCCCUUGCUGAGCACCCCCUGGAAGCAAGAAAAUUGGAAAGAGACAGCUGGGCUGGAGUCUUAACUAUUUUAAUAACGUUUGGUACCAUGGCUGUUGCUGGGAGAUUAGCAGGGAAAUGUAACGGUGUGUAAUUUUUCCUAAGAAUUGCAUUAACAAAAUCAAAUGGGCAGAUGGAGGUGGAAGUUGGGGGGCAGGGAUAGAGCGCUUUCUGGAGGCUUCCUUGGGAGGGAGUUUCUAGGCUCAGGACCUCAGCAAAGCUCUGGGGUGUAAGUGAGAGCUUUCCUUGGGCCAUCUCUCAUCUUUCCUAUCCCUGCCUGUCCUCCAUGUGGGAGGAGAGGCAAGGCAGGGGAAAGAGAAGAAGGACUGGGUUCAAAUUUCUAUCCUGCUGCUUUCUCACGGGGGGGGGGGGGGGGNNGGGGGGGGCUUAGAUAAGUGGCUUUACCUCUCUUGAGUGUGUGCUUCCUUGCCUGUAGCUAGGGGUAGCCAUGCAAGGCUCUUCCAGGGAUCAGGAUGCUAAGCGUGGUGUCUGAUGCAGAGUGGCCUGGGAUGGACGCCUGUCUGGUUAACUCUCCAAAUGUCCACUCUCUGGCCCACCCAGAUCAUACCAUCUACCUCUCAUGCUCCACUUUCUAUAGCAGGAGGCUUCUCUGCAUGUCAGGCCAGGGCUGCGGCCAAGGACAAGGCCAGAGAAGGCAGGACCUCUUUCCUGCAUACAGGGAGCUGAGAAGGCCAGGCAUUCACAUCUACUUUUCUUCAGCCUGGCAGCAGAUUUAAGACACUACAGAGUGUGCUCUCAGCCAGAAUCACCCGAUCUGUCUCAAAAACCCUGAGAGAAAGGGGGCUACUGGGCCCCAUUUUACAGAUGGGGAAACUGAGGCUCGGACAGAUUGUCAGCAGGUCAGUAGCAGAAUUAAAAAUGGAGCAGAAAUACCAGAUGGGAAAUCCCAAAUUCUUCUUGCAACAUUCCUUUGUCAUAUAUCUUCCAUCCAACUUUUUACACAUUUUCUCAUUUUCUCUUUGGUUUGCUUUUGCACCAUCAACUAGACUGUAAGCUGCUUGAGGGUAGACCUUUGUGCUUACCCACUACGUUUCAUGAGACUUGGCACACAGCAUGUGCUCAGGUAAGACAUCAAAUUAAAUGGGCAGAGACCUGGUGAGGUACUAUUUCCUUAGUAAGUCCAGGCUCCGAGUUGUCCCUUUCUCCCACACUCCAGCCUACAUACACACACGCCACACACACAUGCCACGCACGCAUACACGGCUUGCAGAAUCUAAUAACAACCAGUUUAAAAACAUACUAAAAACAGAAAAUUUAUGUAGCAUGACCCAAAUUGAAUUAUACAUUACAGCACUAUAAUUGAUUUUUUAGAAGGAGAUUAAAUUUAUUUUAUGCCUCACUAACUAACAGCUAGAUUUACCUAAUUGCUUGGAGUGCAGAGUUAGUAUGAUUCAUUAAACUCCAUACAUGCUUGGGUACACUGCGCACUGAGUAAGCUUCCCUGCUCGCAGCAAUUAACCAGGAGAAACCCGAGGCGGCACCAGUAAUUGACGAGAACAAUUCAGCCUGAAGUUUGCUCUGGGUGUUUUAUUAAGUUCUUUGAGCAAAAUGCAGAUACUGAGCAUUCCAGUAAAGCGGUUCCAACAACAAAUCAAAGACAACUAACGUUUUUUCUUUCUCUCUCCACUCCCCCAACCCCUCCCCACUGUCACUGGGAGGGGAGGAAGGAAAGAGGAAAAGAAGCAAAACGUAAGCCUUGUCUCGAUUUAAUUACAUCAAUCAUAACAGUGUUUUAAAAAACCUCCCCAGCAUCUGACAGCAUGCAGGCAAAGUCAGCCAGUCUAACAAAGAGUGAGUUUGGGUGGAAUCAGAGAGCGUUCAGUAAUUAUAUACACAUUAUCAAAAAGGUAGCAAUUUAGGAAAAUGGGAAAAAAUAUGCUAAUUUUUGAGAGCAAGAGAAAAUUGGAACUCUCUGAACCAUUUAUUAAUUAUUAAUAAAGGACAUUUAAAGCUGCA